UUGAACGCUGGCGGAAUGCUUUACACAUGCAAGUCGAGCGGCAGCGCGGGGGCAACCCUGGCGGCGAGCGGCGGACGGGUGAGUAAUGCAUCGGAACGUACCUAGUCGUGGGGGAUAACUAUCCGAAAGGAUAGCUAAUACCGCAUACGUCCUGAGGGAGAAAGCAGGGGAUCGCAAGACCUUGCGCGAUUAGAGCGGCCGAUGUCGGAUUAGCUAGUUGGUGGGGUAAAGGCCUACCAAGGCAACGAUCCGUAGCUGGUCUGAGAGGAUGAUCAGCCACACUGGGACUGAGACACGGCCCAGACUCCUACGGGAGGCAGCAGUGGGGAAUUUUGGACAAUGGGCGCAAGCCUGAUCCAGCCAUUCCGCGUGAGUGAAGAAGGCCUUCGGGUUGUAAAGCUCUUUCAGCCGGAAAGAAAUUGCUUCUAUUAAUACUAGGAGUAGAUGACGGUACCGGAAGAAGAAGCACCGGCUAACUACGU
rnacentral:rRNA from 1 species